rnacentral:rRNA from 1 species
AUUGAACGCUGGCGGCAGGCCUAACACAUGCAAGUCGAGCGGGGUUUUCGGACCUAGCGGCGGACGGGUGAGUAAUGCGUAGGAAGCUGCCCGAUAGAGGGGGAUACAAGUUGGAAACGACUGUUAAUACCGCAUAAUGUCUACGGACCAAAGUGUGGGACAUUCGGGCCACAUGCUAUCGGAUGCGCCUACGUGGGAUUAGCUAGGUGGUGAGGUAAUGGAUCAACAAGGCGACGAUCUCUAGCUGGUUUGCGAGGAUGAUCAGCCACACUGGAACUGAGACACGGUCCAGACUCCUACGGGAGGCAGCAGUGGGUAAUAUUGGACAAUGGGCGCAAGCCUGAUCCAGCCAUGCCGCGUGUGUGAAGAAGGCCUUCGGGUUGUAAAGCACUUUCAGCGAGGAGGAAGGGUUGUGUGUUAAUAGCACAUCAUUUUGACGUUACUCGCAGAAGAAGCACCGGCUAACUCUGUGCCAGCCGCCGCGGUAACAC